GGCGGUUCUCAGGUGAUGCACCCUGGAAUUGGGCUCCCUCCUCUCUGGUUCCAGGUGCGUCACCCAAGAACCACA
rfam:Myotis brandtii contig240269, whole genome shotgun sequence.